AAGUCGUAACAAGGUUUCCGUAGGUGAACCUGCGGAAGGAUCAUUUACAAAUAAAGCUGGUAGGGAAGUCGGGGUCUUGAUCUGUAAGUUGGUACGAGCGAACAGGUCCGGCUGCCCUUCCCGAAAUGGUCUUACAUGUUCCCCCACAGCCCUGAAGGCCCGAAUUACAACCCUUGAUUAUCUACACUUGUUGCUUUUGGGGGUGCAUCAAGUUGCCCCGAGAGGACCCAACUCUCUUGCAUUUCAGGAACGUCUGGUACUAUAUUAAUAUUUGAAAAG
rnacentral:misc_RNA from 1 species